UACGGAGGGAGCUAGCGUUGUUCGGAAUUACUGGGCGUAAAGCGUACGUAGGCGGUUAUUCAAGUCAGAGGUGAAAGCCCGGGGCUCAACCCCGGAACCGGCCUUUGAAACUAGGUAGCUAGAGUCUUGGAGAGGUUAGUGGAAUUCCGAGUGUAGAGGUGAAAUUCGAUAGAUAUUCGGAAGAACACCAGUGGCGAAGGCGACUAACUGGACAAGUACUGACGCUGAGGUACGAAAGCGUGGGGAGCAAACAGG
rnacentral:rRNA from 1 species